rnacentral:rRNA from 1 species
AACGAACGCUGGCGGCAGGCCUAACACAUGCAAGUCGAGCGCGCCCUUCGGGGUGAGCGGCGGACGGGUGAGUAACGCGUGGGAACGUGCCCUUCUCUGCGGAAUAGCCUCGGGAAACUGAGAGUAAUACCGCAUACGCCCUUUGGGGGAAAGAUUUAUCGGAGAAGGAUCGGCCCGCGUUGGUUUAGGUAGUUGGUGGGGUAAUGGCCCACCAAGCCGACGAUCCAUAGCUGGGUUGAGAGGAUCAUCAGCCACACUGGGACUGAGACACGGCCCAGACUCCUACGGGAGGCAGCAGUGGGGAAUCUUAGACAAUGGGGGCAACCCUGAUCUAGCCAUGCCGCGUGAGUGAUGAAGGCCUUAGGGUUGUAAAGCUCUUUAAGCUGGGAAGAUAAUGACGGUACCAGCAGAAGAAGCCCCGGCUAACUCCGUG